rnacentral:lncRNA from 1 species
CUUGAGGGGUGUCUUAUACAUGCGCAGUUUCUCUGUGGUUCGUCUUGCAUCCUUCUCAUUGCAAGGGGUAUUGGAGGGGGAGAGCGGCCUUUUGGGGGCGGGUCUUCUUCCAGACAUGGAGGCUACUGCUUUUAUAACCGACAGUUUUCUCAAGGAGUGUGGUGCUGGAAGAUGGAUGUUUGGCUGGAUUCCUUGUUGGCGGUCGUGUGGGAUGCAUCUUGCACUUUGGCUUCCACUUUUCGGUGUGUACUGUCCAAGGGGCGUUUACUGUAACCAUGGUCAAGAUGUGUGUGGUAGAUAUGCUUAAUCUCAUGAUCCAGCGCUAUGAUGUCCAAAGUGUAUGCUCACUUAAAAUAAAAUUGAAGGCAGAAGCUUUGUGGGAGUGGGGGUCGGG